CUGUGUGUGCGUGUGUAUGUGUGUGCGUGUUUGUGUGUAUGUCUGCUCACAUCUCCAUAUCUCUCACUGGAGAUUUGUUCAUAUACAGUGCAGUAAAUAAUGAAUUGGGUCUUAUAUCUACCACAUUUAAAUUGAUUGCUACAGGGUCAAGCAUCUGGUAAUAUUUAUGGGUCAUGGAUGGUCAUGGAUUGCAAAGGAUUUGCAACCGAGCACUAAACAAAACAAUUGUAUUUACUUUCAUUACAGUCCCCUGAAACGGAGGUAUUAUGAUUCUGAAAAGAUGAUUAUAUGGUUCACCCUGUAUAGUAGUUUCCUUCAAACCCAUUCGCAAGACAGCAUGCCAACACAACAAUGCCUAAAUGAACCGUACACACAUACUCGACA
ensembl:lncRNA